UACGUAGGGUGCGAGCGUUAAUCGGAAUUACUGGGCGUAAAGCGUGCGCAGGCGGUUAUUUAAGUCAGGUGUGAAAGCCCUGGGCUUAACCUAGGAAUUGCGCUUGAGACUGGAUAGCUUGGAGUGCGGCAGAGGGAGGUGGAAUUCCACGUGUAGCAGUGAAAUGCGUAGAUAUCUGGAGGAACACCGGUGGCGAAGGCGGCAUCCUGGACCGGCAUUGACGCUGAGGCGCGAAAGCCAGGGGAGCAAAGCGGG
rnacentral:rRNA from 1 species